rnacentral:tRNA from 1 species
GCCGGGAUGGUGGAAUUGGUAGACACAAGGGACUUAAAAUCCCUCGGCUAUUGCAGCCGUGCCGGUUCAAGCCCGGUUCCCGGCA